rnacentral:rRNA from 1 species
UUGAUCAUGGCGUCAGGAUGAACGCUGGCGGCGUGCUUAACACAUGCAAGUCGAACGGAGUUUUAACGGUAAGUUUCGGAUGGAAGUUAAGAACUUAGUGGCGGACGGGUGGAGUAACGCGUGGGUAACCGUGCCUCCAUACAGGGGGAUAACAGUUAGAAAUGACUGCUAACACCGCAUAAUAUAGUGAAACCGCAUGAUUUUGCUGUCAAAUAUUUAUAGGUAUGAGAUGGGCCCGCGUCUGAUUAGCUAGUUGGUGGGGUAAAAGCCUACCAAGGCGACGAUCAGUAGCCGGCUUGAGAGAGUGACCGGCCACAUUGGGACUGAGACACGGCCCAAACUCCUACGGGAGGCAGCAGUGGGGAAUAUUGGACAAUGGGGGAAACCCUGAUCCAGCGAACCGCCGCGUGAGUGAAGAAGUAUUUCGGUAUGUAAAGCUCUAUCAGCAGGGAAGAUAAUGACAGUACCUGACUAAGAAGCCCCGGCUAACUACGUGCCAGCAGCCGC